ensembl:lncRNA
AUGACCGUUUUUCAACAGAUUGAUACUGUAGUAGAUUUACCUGUGAAUGCUCCACCCUCUGUCUUGCCACAUCACCCCUUCUCUCCCUGCUCUCCUCCUGUCUCCCUGUCUCAUUCUCUUUUCUCUCAGCCCUCUCAGUCUGUCAGUAUGAAGGUGUUAGAGGUGGGAGACUCAGUGAGUCAGUUCAGGUUGGCUGAGUCAUGUGUGGGGCUGGCAGGGUGUCUGUGCGUGGCCUACUCUGUUUGGACCCCUCGCUGGCUCAAUGACCAGGGACUGUGGUCUAUAGGCAACAACAGCACCAACACAGACAGUGAUGGUGACCAGACUGGGGACAUCAUCUUUAACGCCCUGGAGGCAGAGCAAGUGUUUGGGGUGCUGUCAUUCCUCAUGGCUGUGAAUUCAGGGGCUCUGUGCCUCGUGUUCGCCCUCUGCUGGACAUCCCAGACAGUGCGCUCUUACUCCAACACCCGCUCCCUCCUCAUGGCAGGCCAGGCCCUCUACCCCACCGUCUUGCUGCUCCUCACUCUAGGACCCACAGGAUUCUUCUUCCUCCUCAGCUGGUCCCUCUUCACCUACCAGCACCGGGUGGAGAUUAGUGAUGACUUCACAUGCCUGGGCUCCUCCUUUUGGCUGGGUACCCUGGGCUGGGCCCUGCUAUUGGUUGCUCUGCCUGUGGUCUUCCUGGUGGAGCAGUGUGUGGUCCCGGACAUCCUGCCAGAUCUCAUGAAGGCUGCUGAUGGGUGGCGGGGCGCCUCCCAGGUACCGUACGCCCAGCACUCGUUCAUCGUGAGUCACCAGCGUUGUCAUGAAGACCAGAGUGAUGAAGACAUUGCGAGAGGCCUGAGGAGGUACAUGUCUGUACCCUGAGAGGAGGAAUAGAGAGGACACAGGACAGUGAUGGAGUAUUAGUGUAACCUUCUUCAGGCUCAGAGACUGAGCUAACUGCAGAAUGGGACUGGACUGGGCACACAGCUGAUAGGGGUCCAUGUUCACACUAGCAGUUCACCAGGGAGAGGAGCUUCUAGUCUGUGUCUGUAUCAGAGAUUUCUCCACUGUAGGAUAAUGUUUACAGACGCACUCUGAGAAUAUGUAAUAUUAGACUAAUCAAAUCAAAUUUCAUUGGUUGUGCACACAUAUUUUGCAGAUGUUAUCGCAGAUGCAGCGAAAUGCUUAUGUUUCUAGCUCAAACAGUGCAGUAAUACCUAACAAAACAAAUGACCAAUUAGCCCUUUUAAAUUAUAAACUUGGAUUAGCUAACACAACGUGCCAUUAGAACACAGGAGUGAUGGUUGCUGAUAAUGGGCCUCUGUACGCCUAUGUAGAUAUUCCAUAAAAAAUCAGCCGUUUCCAGCUAAAAUGGCCAUUUACAACAUUAACAAUAUCUACACUGUAUUUCUGAUCAAUUUUAUGUUAUUUUAAUGGACUUGAGAAUGAGAAAAAUGUGCUUUUCUUUCAAAAACAAGGACAUUUCUAUGCCCAAACUUUUGAACGGUAGUGUAUAUAUACACAAAUAUAAUGGUGUGUGUAUAGACAGUAUAUGAAUAGAAAAGUUGUGUACAGGAGUAGAUAUAUAGGAUAAGCAUUGAAUAGAAUACAGUAUAUACAUAUAAAGUGGGUAAAACAGUAUGUAAACAUUAUUAAAGUGACCAAAAGUGUCAAUGCUGAGAUAAAGGGUUCUUGUCAAGCAAGGAACAAUUUAUUAUUUGUAGUUGUUUGUUGCCAAGCACACUUUCAGUAAGAUUUUCUGUGUAGUAAAGGAAACAUUUAUGUUACAAUAGCAGCCUCAUGUGGUGAGUAUGACCAAGGUUUGAUGUUGAAAAAGCUAUUUUUGAUACAGCUUGGCAGCAGUGUUCUGUUCGCAAGUAUUCAACAUUAAUUAGUGGAAAGUCACACAUUUUGGUUGUUUGUGUACAAAGUGGGAUCACUACUUGUUGAAUUUAGAUGAAAGUGAUACAUACAUUUAGAGUUUAACUAAUACUUCUAAGACAGUCCUAUGUGAAUGUGCAUUUUCUCAGUGAGCUUGAUACUCAUCACCACUAUAAAGUGACUGAUAUCACAACGUUUUUGCAAUGGGACUGUGAUAUUAUUGAUAUUGUACCUUUAAAAAACAGAUGAAUAAACUGCUGCUUUUAUUUACUCAGCCCUGUUAACCAGUAUCUCUACCAGGCUCCAGAUGUCUUCCUGGCAUCACCAGAGAACAGUGCCAUAGCACACUCCAGUCCAACAGAAAGCCUUAUUAUAAUGCCCCUCUUCCCCUAUGAGCAGUAGAACCAUCACAUACAGCAGUACAGUUGAAUCAUGUCAGCCAUCUACUCAGCACUGCCAAGCUACUGUCUACCAGUCUCUCUCACAGCCCUUCUUUAGUUCUCUCAGUCUUCUCUCUUCUCUUACUUCCCCAACAGGAGAGGAGAGAGUGGGCUGCCUGCCUGCCUGCCAUCAUGCCACAUGUUUACGUUCUGAUCCUUGUUAAAGUAGGGGAGAAUUAACAGGCUCUGGCUUUGUUAAUUGGCCGCUAAUCAGGUGUUGCUCUAAUUAAAAGGCAGUUCCGCCCUGUUGGUGCCUGCUAAUGAGUGUGUUAUUAAAUCCACCAAGGAUUUGGGUCUCUUUUUCAAUUUAUCAACAGGGUAGAGAUUAAUUUGUGUUGGAAUGAGAGUGGAAUGUCAUUGAAGGUUGUCUUGCUAGAGAGUGUGUGCUAGAGAGUGUGAUCAAGAUCAAAUGCGCUCUUUCUCUCUACAUAGACAACAAACAUGCAGUGUGGUGCUGUGUUGUCGGUGUGUUGCCUUGUGUUGUGACAUUUUGUCUUGUGAUUUUGUGGUGCUGUGUUGUGGCGUGUGUAGUGUUGGUUUGUUAUGUGUUGUGUGUGGUUGGGUCUUGUAUAGUGUUGUUGUGUGUGUAGUGCACUCAGCUGCACUGAAUGUUAGGAUAUUGAUGAUGUGAAUACCUCCCUUGUGCUGUAUUGCUCUUCAAGAGUUCAGGUUUCCACUUUUUGACAUUGUGUAUACAUGGAGAUGUGACCCUUCCCUGGCCUCUUAAUUUAAGUAGAGCAGGGCCCUUCAUAACUCUAACUCUACCUACAUGUACAUUUUACCUCAACUAACCGGUGCCCCCGCACAUUGACUCUACCUGUACCCCCCUUGUUUCUAGUCUCGCUAAUGUUAUUUUACUGCUGCUCUUUAAUUACUUGUUACUUUUAUUUCUUAUUCUAAUCCAUAUUUUUUUGAACUGCAUUGUUGGUUCGUAAGUAAGCAUUUCACUGUAUUCGGCGCACAUGACUAAUACGAUUUGAUUUGAUUUGAUCAGCCACAGCUGAGGCUCUCUGCCUGGCCCUUUGAGACCUUUGGGCAAGGCCAUGUGGUAACGGAGUGACACUCCCACUAUAGAAAUAUGCAGAUCUUUUUUAAUAAUCAAGGCCAAAUCUUAAUGCCAUACAUGUAUCAAUACUAACAAGUAAUUGUUCAAAUAUACUGUAUCUGUCAUGCAAAAAAACUAUUAGUGGUGGGUGAUAGUCACAGCUGCCCAGAAACAAAACAAAUCAUCUUACUUUAAAUAAUUUGUAUGCAUUUUAUGACUCCCAUAUGGUCCAUGAUUAAUAGAACAUUUUGUAUCAGGAAAUUGUCCUAAAAAUACAUAUCCACAGACAAUUGUAUUGCAAUAUGCUAUUUUGCACUCCGUUACAUCUCUUUCAAUUAUUUGUAUUUUCAUGAUGAAGUAUUAUAUCAAAUGAUACCAAAAUUUGUGCUGAUAUAGUCAACUAAGUAUUUC